AAGUCGUAACAAGGUCUCCGUUGGUGAACCAGCGGAGGGAUCAUUACAGAGUUAUACAACUCCCAUACCAUCUGUUAACCUACCCAGUUAUGCCUCGGCGUAAGCUCGGUUGGAGGCACCUGCAGCUACCCUGUAGUUGCGGACUGCCAACUCCAGCCGCGGCCCGCCGGCGGUACACUAAACUCUGUUUUAUUUUAUAUUCUGAGCGUCUUAUUUUAAUAAGUUAAAA
rnacentral:misc_RNA from 1 species